CAGAAGCAUAUAUUAAAGUUGUUGCAGUUGAAACGCUCGUAGUCAGAUUUUUAUGGUGCAUUUAAGUUCGCUUGGAUGCCCAACCAAUCGGUCGCCCCACUGAUCUAGUAUCGGUGGGAUCACGAACGAUUUUUCUACCUUGAUGAAUUUAGAGUGUUCAAAGCAGGCUAUGCCUGAAUACUUUCGCAUGGAAUGAGUUCAAAAUACUUUUUGUUUUUGUUUUCGGUUGUGACAAUUAGAGGUAUCAUUAGGAACAGUCGAGGGCAUUUGUACUUGAUUGCGAGAGGUGAAAUUCUUGGACCAAUCAAUGACAAACAAAAGCGAAAGCAUCUGUCAAGGAUGUUUUCUUUG
rnacentral:rRNA from 1 species